ensembl:lncRNA
CUUCCAGGGCUGUGUUGUGGGCAAGGAACCCAGCCCUGAGAGAGAAAGGGAGAGGCUGAAGUUUCUGUGCUAGGAGCUUCCUGCAGUCCCAAAGCCAGGUGUUUACCUGCGGCAGAGACCUGAGUUCCUGGAGCCCUUCAGCAAGGGGCCAGGGCCUCUGGAGACCAUCUAAGUCUCCAUGAAGCCUCCGAGGGGAGAUAAGCUCCAGCAGGGCGGCCGCCUUCCUCUGGGCCUGGGGCAGCACGCAGAGGAGCUGCUGAGUGGACGGGUUGGUUACCCACCAACACGUGGUCGUAGAGAAGCACAGCAUCAGAGGAGAAGGGACGCCAGAGGUCACCAGCCAGCAGCUUUGGGACAAGCCUAAGGCCCGAAGUGUCCUUAGCCCUCACUCCCAGUUAUCCACCCUCACUACUCAAGCUGCUGGUCCUGAGCCUGGGAGCUUAUAAGAAAUGCAAAGGCCCAGCACCUUGGAAUGGUCUGUUGCAGGCAGGGGC